AAGUUUUGGACCAUGGGGUGGCCCACUCCACGGAUUGCGACUCCGGGUUGAAGAAAUCCACCCACCUCUUGCUCUCCACCCACCCCAUGAGGAGGAGUUGGGUCCCGAGGAGGGUUCCGAACGAGAAGGGGGCCACAGCCCCCGGGGCAGCUCCUGCUUCGAACCAGGGGAUGCCGCUGUAGGCCUGGCCGACAAAGAUGCCGAGGACUGCCGCCAUGGCCCAUCGUCCGUGGAUCAGCUCCGCUUCUC
rnacentral:lncRNA from 1 species